UACAGAGACUGCAAGCGUUACUCGGAUUCACUGGGCGUAAAGGGAGCGCAGGCGGACCGGUGUGUCAGAUGUGAAACCCCAGGCUCAACCCUGGGACUGCGUCUGAAACUGCCGGUCUAGGGACUCGGAGGGCUAGUGGAAUUCCUGGUGGAGCAGUGAAAUGCGUAGAUAUCAGGAGGAACACCAACGGCGAAGGCAGCUAGCUGGACGAGAUCCGACGCUCAGGCUCGAAAGCGCGGGGAGCGAACAGG
rnacentral:rRNA from 1 species